GAUGAACGCUGGCGGCGUGCUUAAUACAUGCAAGUCGAGCGAAAGGACGCGAUGCUUGCUUUUCUGAUGUUAACGGCGGAAGGGUGAGUAAAGUAAGCAUAACCUACCUAUAGGAUUGGGUUAGCUUAGGGAAACUGGUGCUAAUACGGGAUAAUAUUUUGAAGGGCGGGGUUCAAAAGCGAAAGACGGUCUUGAUGUCACUUAUAGAUGUAUCCGCGCUGGAUUGGUUAGUUGGUAAGGUAACGGCUUACCAAGGCAAGGAUGGAUAGCCGACCUGAGAGGGGGUACGGCCACACAGGAACUGAGACACGGUCCUGACUCCUACGGGAGGCAGCAGUACGGAAUCUUCCGCAAUGGGCGGAAGCCUGACGGAGCAACGCCGGGCGAGUGAUGAAGGUCUUCGGAUCGUAAGACGCUGUUAUUAUGGAAGAACAUAUGCGUAAGGAGCUGUGCACAUCGUGACGGUACCUAAACAGAAAGCCCCGGCUAACUACGUG
rnacentral:rRNA from 1 species